GUUGGAUCACUGGUGGGUUCAGCAGAAGGGGUAGAUGCAAUUACCUCCUGAGGAAUGAGGAGCACCCCAGCCUUUGCCUCUGACCUGAUUCUCCUCAUUGACUGGGCCGUGUGCUGCACGACCCUGUUCUUGAUUCUUGAAGGAGUCAGACUCCUUCAAAAUCUCACAGCUCGGGAAAACACAGGGAUGGGCAGGAGGUCAAGAAAGAGGAGGAUCUGAAGUGGAGACCCAGACCAAAAGCAUGGGCACCACCUUGUGAAGAUGUUUGUCUGGAGGGACCUGCUCUGCAGCAGGGACUUGGAAAUGCUCCUGUAUUACAAGCAGAAAACAGCCAUCCUCCCCUUUCUGAGAAGUCCUGGGCUCUGGAGGUGCACGGUCAAACUGGGAAGGGCUCCUUGCUGAGGCACCUCAUACACAGGCUACAGAGGUGGCAGUGCAGGGUGCAUGUAGGCUGCAGUAAACUGAGAACUACCCCAUCAAGGGGGAAUGGAGAUCAUCAGUUCCUGCAGUGGGCAUUUCUUACUGUCACUGGCCAAGCAAGAAGCUAGAAAAGACUCUCAAGUGUCACUGCUAGGCAUACCAAAGAAUAGCUUUGCAUUUGGAAGUGUAUUUACAAUGUAAGGUUAUUGAAAAGCCUUGUGGCAGUGAAAUCUAAAUGUUUCAUUAAUGAAAGAACAGCAGAUGAAUAAUCACAAUAAAAGUGUCUGUUACCAUGGGACAUGGAAAUAGAAACACAAUGGGCACUUAAUGAGUGGCGAUUAGUCUGGCUCCACAGACUAUUUGGGAAAUGGAGAAGAAGAAUGGAUUGUGUCAAAAGCCAAAGUCAAAAGACACAUUUGGUAGGCUUAGGUCAAAGAAAUUAAGGAUUGCUACACCAAAAUGAGAUGCUGUCUCUGUGGAUCUAUGGUUGAAGUGAAACAUUUAAAUACAGUCAUGUCUAUGAGCCUGUAAUUACAGGGUGUCAGGCAUUACAGGGAUGUGGAGGGGCUGAACUCAGACUAUACAUACCUCCCACAUGGUGUUUUCUGACUCUGUGCAAUUGUUCAAUCCUAUUGUUUUCUUAAUAAAUUCCUCAAACCCUGUCCAGAUAUUCCCAACUCAGAAUUCACUGUGACACUCACUGCCUGAGGGGGACUCAGCAGCUGAUGCAGUUAACUUGUCCCAUGCUUAUCCUCAUACAGCAGUGUGGCUGGCUGACUACUCCAGGAGUCACUUCUCUGUGUGAAGCAGGACCUCCCAGCAGACAAGGAAGAAGCGAAGAAGAUGGGUGUGAAAGUGCCAAGUCACACCUGGACCACACAUACUGACACAACUGGGAAAUGAAAGCUAUGACCAUGAAUGUGGAAAAAAAGACAAAUACUGAAGCAAAUGCACCUCUUUGGCAAGGCAGGGGAUCAUCAGCAUAGCAGGUACAGCCAGAGUACCACAGUCCCAAAAGCUGUAAGGAUCUUUCCUGGGCAUAUUGGACACAGUUUAGGGGGCUGGACUGCCUUUGGCAUUUUGGUUAGUCACCCCUGCCUCAGCCAUGAAUCGUCUGCUGAGCUGCUGUGACAAUGGCUUUGGAAGAAAAGCCAUGGACAUACAGGGCCUCAUUUUCAGACAUACAGGGCUCCAUUGUGGAGAUAAGCAAACUACAGCACAGGAGUGAAGAAAAAUUGAAAGAGGCAGAACAGGUAGCACCAUAAUUUAAUAAAAAAUUACUGUGGAUUCUAUAUGGGAUUGUAAUUAAAGAUAGCAGACAAAUAAAGUCUUCAAGAGCACUUCAUACCUGAAGUGCGAUGUAAAAAUUACAUUGAAAAGAGCCUACCUAGGAAGAUCAUUUGUCUAAGAAAAGGGACAGAGACAUUUUAUCCUACUACAA